AGAACAAGGAUGUUGAAGAAGGCU
rnacentral:siRNA from 1 species